rnacentral:rRNA from 1 species
UGGCGACCGGCGCACGGGUGAGUAACGCGUAUGCAACUUACCUAUCAGAGGGGGAUAGCCCGGCGAAAGUCGGAUUAAUACCCCAUGAAACAGGGGUCCCGCAUGGGAAUAUUUGUUAAAGAUUCAUCGCUGAUAGAUAGGCAUGCGUUCCAUUAGGCAGUUGGCGGGGUAACGGCCCACCAAACCGACGAUGGAUAGGGGUUCUGAGAGGAAGGUCCCCCACAUUGGUACUGAGACACGGCCCAA